UCGUCAUCCAAUCAGAUGCAUGCAUCUAGUAACUUGCCGAGCAUGCGCACAAAAAAGUGGGUACACUAGUUACGUCUCUGUAUGUCUCUGUACUCGUGUCCCUUUCGUAUGACCUGCAUCAUGUCUUGUGAUAAUCAUGUAAACGAUAAUUCGACAUAAACGACAUCGUUUCCUCCCACAUUUCGCCAAAGUGGCGAAUAUUGAACCGCGUGAGAAAUGCU